rnacentral:rRNA from 1 species
CCGCCGGCGAGUGGCAAACGGGUGAGUAAUACAUCGGAACGUGCCCAGUAGUGGGGGAUAGCCCGGCGAAAGCCGGAUUAAUACCGCAUACGCCCUACGGGGGAAAGGCCGGGAUCUUCGGACCGGUCGCUAUUGGAUGAGCCUGCGUUGGAUUAGCUAGUUGGUAGGGUAAAGGCCUACCAAGGCUACGAUCAGUCGCUGGUCUGAGAGGACGACCAGCCACACUGGGACUGAGACACGGCCCAGACUCC